CUGUCAGUGGACAUUAGGUUGUUUAUUUUCUUUAUAUUUUGUUGUUAAAUUGACAGUGCUGUCAUGAAUAUUUCUGUAUAUGUAUCCUGGCACACAGCAGCAAGCAUUUUUCUAGGGAGGUAGUUAAUCAAACUUUAGCAUGCAUCAGAGUCACUUGGAGGAGGAGGAGGACUUGAGAAAACUGCUGGACUUCAUCCCCAAAGAUUAAUAUUCAGUAGGUCUGGGGUGGGGUAGGAAUGUACAUUUUUAAUUUGCAGGUGAAAUGUGGUUCAGAUGCUGCAGGUGACAGGAUCACACAUUUGAGAACCACCACUCUAAGUGUAAGAGACUUAAAUGAAUAUGACUGUCACACAAAAAAGGUGUGUCCUACUUCAACACUCAACAUUCAAGAAAUAUUUGUCAAAGACCUGCUGUAAGCCAGGUGGUUGCUGUAUAUGGAACUUUAUCUGAUUUGCUUUCUGUGGCCAGCAGUAAACUCGGCAUAAAAGCCACCAGUGUGUAUAAUGGGAAAGGUGGACUGAUUGAUGAUAUUGCUUUGAUCAGGGAUGAUGAUGUUUUGUUUGUUUGUGAAGGAGAGCCAUUUAUUGAUCCUCAGACAGAUUCUAAGCCUCCUGAGGGAUUGUUAGGAUUCCACACAGACUGGCUGACAUUAAAUGUUGGAGGGCGGUACUUUACAACUACACGCGUUACUCCUACCAGGUUGUAGCAUGCAUCUUUUUGAGAGAGCAGCUGGGAUCGAGUAUACUCUUGACUUAAAUAUGUUUGUUUAUAAAGACAAAUGGAGAAAUCAAUUUUUUUCCCUGAAUUCUUAGGAGCACUUUAGUGAAUAAAGAACCUGACAGUAUGCUGGCCCACAUGUUUAAGGAC
rnacentral:lncRNA from 1 species